CUUGACGGCCGCCUCAACGUUAGUGAAUGCGGCUGGGUCAUUUGGAGUGGGGUCUUGCCGAGCCGCGAACCUGAGCCAAAAGAUCAUCAUGCUGCAGGUGGACUGGUGAUUGAACUGGUGAUUCCAGCUGAAGAUUUCUGGGCAGAAUGAUGAGACGGUUGGUACGACGCGAUUUAAAUUGGAAUUUCAUGCAUAUCGUCCGAGUUGCAGUUGAAGCGGAUCCUGAUCGUAAGGAGAUUGUACUAUUGGCGAACCCUCACGCGUUUACCUGGGAAUAAGGACUUUCGGGUCCGAAAUCGUAGGCGACUCGGCGGAAUCCAGCGUCGUAGCAACGGCUAUUCUCUUAAAAUACGAGGGUUCAGAGAAAUCUUGAAACUUUAAGAGCAAAACUGCGGGAAAAGAUGGACGGGGAGUGGAUACAGGAAUCACUGAUUAUUGAAAAAUUUGUUGAAAUGUUAAUAUCCGUUGUAUUUGUAAAGUUAUAAAGUGUUUAAUUUACCAUGUCCAUUUUCAUAUUGUUUAAUUAACAUUUAUUUAGAA